rnacentral:rRNA from 1 species
GAUGAACGCUGGCGGCGUGCCUAAUACAUGCAAGUCGAGCGAACAGACGAGGAGCUUGCUCCUCUGACGUUAGCGGCGGACGGGUGAGUAACACGUGGAUAACCUACCUAUAAGACUGGGAUAACUUCGGGAAACCGGAGCUAAUACCGGAUAAUAUAUUGAACCGCAUGGUUCAAUAGUGAAAGACGGUUUUGCUGUCACUUAUAGAUGGAUCCGCGCCGCAUUAGCUAGUUGGUAAGGUAACGGAUUACCAAGGCAACGAUGCGUAGCCGACCUGAGAGGGUGAUCGGCCACACUGGAACUGAGACACGGUCCAGACUCCUACGGGAGGCAGCAGUAGGGAAUCUUCCGCAAUGGGCGAAAGCUUGACGGAGCAACGCCGCGUGAGUGAUGAAGGUCUUCGGAUCGUAAAACUCUGUUAUUAGGGAAGAACAAAUGUGUAAGUAACUAUGCACGUCUUGACGGUACCUAAUCAGAAAGCCACGGCUAACUACGUG